GUCAGCUCUCCAAUCAUCAAUGGGGCUAACCAAUCAGCUGCUUGUAGAGAAUUUCAGGAAUCCAUUUCCUGAAAUGCAUACAUGAAAAUACACAAACCACACCACAGAAACUGAGGAACAUAACAGACAGUAUAACACACACAGUAGUAGUAUCCUGUGUCUUCUCCCCUAAACAGAAGGACACUCUGAAGCUGGGGGACUUUGGCUCGUGUUAGAGUGUUUACUCCCGCCCUACACAGAGUACAUCUCUACACGUUGCUACAGAACCCCAGAGUGCCUCAUAACUGACGGACACAACUCUCACAAGAUGGACGUCUGGAGCGUGUCUUCUACAAGAUCAUCAGGGAUGAAGGCCUCAACUGCAGGACCAGCUUCCCCACCUUAUUCUGUUUACAGGACGGAGAUGUGACAUAGUGAACAUGUCAACAUGACAUAUCAGUGGAAUCAAGUCUCUCGUCUCUCCAGGAUUUGAAGUCAUUCAGAGACGCUGCUGCCUCAUCAUUGGCACUUCCUACAACUCCCUCCCAAGGCCUUCAAAGUGUUCCUGCACAACCACCAGUCCUCUGAACAAGUUUCUAACCCUUAAACAGCAACAGUAUGAUCUGAGGAGUUCAAUGUAACAAGCUGCACUACCAGACACCAAAGAUCAUUCACAAGAGAUCUCAAACUAUGCAGAUGGUUUUCUCCACCACUAAAGACAUUUAAUAUGACUAUUUAUUGAUUUGGUGGUGUGUCUAUUUGUUGUGUGACUUUUGAUGACCCACUGUCCAUAUAUUAAGGCAGAGUAUACCUGUUUGUGUAUGACAUCACAUUUUAUGUAUGUUUCUGCAUAUGUACCAAUAUGUUCUAAACCUGUCAAGAGCUGAAGUGGACAUCCAAUCACGUUCCUGUAUUACCAGGGUUUAUUCAUCAUACCAGCUUAUAGAAGCAGCACAUAACUGUGUUUGUAGUGAAAAAGUAUAAAAAAGGACAGAUGAGUGAAUUUCUAAUGAUGGAGAGGAGAAUGUAACUACAACCAAUGAUGUAGAUAUACACAGAAGAAUGAAUAUUAAUGUCUAUGUCUGAAACUCUUCUUUCAGUGGUUCUUUCAGCUCAGACCACUUCUGUUUUUCUGAGACUGAGCAGAGAGAGAGAGAAAUAAGUCAUAGUGGUGGGUUGUCUUUUCAUUUUACCACAGCAUAUUAUCUCACCCUAAAAUAACACAGCUGGUCAUUUCACACCUUCAAAAGAAGAAGACAACAACACAAAGAUACUGUGGGAACAGUGGCCUGUACUGUUUCUAUGGGGAUUAACAUAGAGACCCGGUUUUGAGUUUUACUAGAGGGUAUUACUAGAUGGUAUACAGCUGUUGAUGGAAAUUACUUUGUCACGGCUGUCGAACGGAUCGGACCAAAAU